rnacentral:rRNA from 1 species
UACAGAGGCCUCGAGCGUUAAUCGGAAUCACUGGGCUUAAAGGGUGCGUAGGUGGGUUGGUAAGUCCGUGGUGAAAUCUCCGAGCUUAACUCGGAAACUGCCGUGGAUACUAUCAAUCUUGAAUACUGUGGAGGUAAGCGGAAUAUGUCAUGUAGCGGUGAAAUGCUUAGAUAUGACAUAGAACACCGAUAGCGAAGGCAGCUUGCUACACAGUCAUUGACACUGAGGCACGAAAGCGUGGGGAGCAAACAGG